rnacentral:rRNA from 1 species
AAUAUCUGGCAAACCUUUUUUGAACUUCAGAACUAAGCAGGGUUGGUCUUGGUUAGAAAUUGGAUGGGAGAUCUCCAGAGAGUCCUAAGGCUAUACAUUA